AUAAUGGGUCAGCGACUUAUAUUCUGUAGCAAGGUUAACCGAAUAGGGGAGCCGAAGGGAAACCGAGUCUUAACUGGGCGUUAAGUUGCAGGGUAUAGACCCGAAACCCGGUGAUCUAGCCAUGGGCAGGUUGAAGGUUGGGUAACACUAACUGGAGGACCGAACCGACUAAUGUUGAAAAAUUAGCGGAUGACUUGUGGCUGGGGGUGAAAGGCCAAUCAAACCGGGAGAUAGCUGGUUCUCCCCGAAAGCUAUUUAGGUAGCGCCUCGUGAAUUCAUCUCCGGGGGUAGAGCACUGUUUCGGCAAGGGGGUCAUCCCGACUUACCAACCCGAUGCAAACUGCGAAUACCGGAGAAUGUUAUCACGGGAGACACACGGCGGGUGCUAACGUCCGUCGUGAAGAGGGAAACAACCCAGACCGCCAGCUAAGGUCCCAAAGUCAUGGUUAAGUGGGAAACGAUGUGGGAAGGCCCAGACAGCCAGGAUGUUGGCUUAGAAGCAGCCAUCAUUUAAAGAAAGCGUAAUAGCUCACUGGUCGAGUCGGCCUGCGCGGAAGAUGUAACGGGGCUAAACCAUGCACCGAAGCUGCGGCAGCGACGCUUAUGCGUUGUUGGGUAGGGGAGCGUUCUGUAAGCCUGCGAAGGUGUGCUGUGAGGCAUGCUGGAGGUAUCAGAAGUGCGAAUGCUGACAUAAGUAACGAUAAAGCGGGUGAAAAGCCCGCUCGCCGGAAGACCAAGGGUUCCUGUCCAACGUUAAUCGGGGCAGGGUGAGUCGACCCCUAAGGCGAGGCCGAAAGGCGUAGUCGAUGGGAAACAGGUUAAUAUUCCUGUACUUGGUGUUACUGCGAAGGGGGGACGGAGAAGGCUAUGUUGGCCGGGCGACGGUUGUCCCGGUUUAAGCGUGUAGGCUGGUUUUCCAGGCAAAUCCGGAAAAUCAAGGCUGAGGCGUGAUGACGAGGCACUACGGUGCUGAAGCAACAAAUGCCCUGCUUCCAGGAAAAGCCUCUAAGCAUCAGGUAACAUCAAAUCGUACCCCAAACCGACACAGGUGGUCAGGUAGAGAAUACCAAGGCGCUUGAGAGAACUCGGGUGAAGGAACUAGGCAAAAUGGUGCCGUAACUUCGGGAGAAGGCACGCUGAUAUGUAGGUGAAGUCCCUCGCGGAUGGAGCUGAAAUCAGUCGAAGAUACCAGCUGGCUGCAACUGUUUAUUAAAAACACAGCACUGUGCAAACACGAAAGUGGACGUAUACGGUGUGACGCCUGCCCGGUGCCGGAAGGUUAAUUGAUGGGGUUAGCGCAAGCGAAGCUCUUGAUCGAAGCCCCGGUAAACGGCGGCCGUAACUAUAACGGUCCUAAGGUAGCGAAAUUCCUUGUCGGGUAAGUUCCGACCUGCACGAAUGGCGUAAUGAUGGCCAGGCUGUCUCCACCCGAGACUCAGUGAAAUUGAACUCGCUGUGAAGAUGCAGUGUACCCGCGGCAAGACGGAAAGACCCCGUGAACCUUUACUAUAGCUUGACACUGAACAUUGAGCCUUGAUGUGUAGGAUAGGUGGGAGGCUUUGAAGUGUGGACGCCAGUCUGCAUGGAGCCGACCUUGAAAUACCACCCUUUAAUGUUUGAUGUUCUAACGUGGACCCGUAAUCCGGGUUGCGGACAGUGUCUGGUGGGUAGUUUGACUGGGGCGGUCUCCUCCUAAAGAGUAACGGAGGAGCACGAAGGUUGGCUAAUCCUGGUCGGACAUCAGGAGGUUAGUGCAAUGGCAUAAGCCAGCUUGACUGCGAGCGUGACGGCGCGAGCAGGUGCGAAAGCAGGUCAUAGUGAUCCGGUGGUUCUGAAUGGAAGGGCCAUCGCUCAACGGAUAAAAGGUACUCCGGGGAUAACAGGCUGAUACCGCCCAAGAGUUCAUAUCGACGGCGGUGUUUGGCACCUCGAUGUCGGCUCAUCACAUCCUGGGGCUGAAGUAGGUCCCAAGGGUAUGGCUGUUCGCCAUUUAAAGUGGUACGCGAGCUGGGUUUAGAACGUCGUGAGACAGUUCGGUCCCUA
rnacentral:rRNA from 1 species